rnacentral:rRNA from 1 species
GACGAACGCUGGCGGCGUGCCUAAUACAUGCAAGUCGAGCGAAGUUUUUCUGGUGCUUGCACUAGAAAAACUUAGCGGCGAACGGGUGAGUAACACGUAAAGAACCUGCCUCAUAGACUGGGACAACUAUUGGAAACGAUAGCUAAUACCGGAUAACAGUAUUUCUCGCAUGAGAGAUAUUUAAAAGUUGGUUAUGCUAACACUAUGAGAUGGCUUUGCGGUGCAUUAGCUAGUUGGUGGGGUAAAGGCCCACCAAGGCGACGAUGCAUAGCCGACCUGAGAGGUUGAUCGGCCACACUGGGACUGAGACACGGCCCAGACUCCUACGGGAGGCAGCAGUAGGGAAUCUUCCGCAAUGGGCGAAAGCCUGACGGAGCAACGCCGCGUGAGUGAAGAAGGAUUUCGGUUCGUAAAGCUCUGUUGUUAGGGAAGAAUGGAUAUGUAGUAACUAUACAUGUAAGAGACGGUACCUAACCAGAAAGCCACGGCUAACUACGUG